rnacentral:rRNA from 1 species
GACGAACGCUGGCGGCGUGCUUAACACAUGCAAGUCGAACGGAAAGGCCCUGCUUUUGUGGGGUGCUCGAGUGGCGAACGGGUGAGUAACACGUGAGUAACCUGCCCUUGACUUUGGGAUAACUUCAGGAAACUGGGGCUAAUACCGGAUAGGAGCUCCUGCUGCAUGGUGGGGGUUGGAAAGUUUCGGCGGUUGGGGAUGGACUCGCGGCUUAUCAGCUUGUUGGUGGGGUAGUGGCUUACCAAGGCUUUGACGGGUAGCCGGCCUGAGAGGGUGACCGGCCACAUUGGGGCUGAGAUACGGCCCAGACUCCUACGGGAGGCAGCAGUGGGGAAUAUUGCACAAUGGGCGGAAGCCUGAUGCAGCAACGCCGCGUGCGGGAUGACGGCCUUCGGGUUGUAAACCGCUUUCGCCUGUGACGAAGCGUGAGCGACGGUAAUGGGUAAAGAAGCACCGGCUAACUACGUG